rnacentral:rRNA from 1 species
UACGUAGGGGGCAAGCGUUGUCCGGAUUUAUUGGGCGUAAAGAGCGUGUAGGCGGCCAAACAGGUCAGCUGUGAAAAACUCGAGGCUCAACCUCGAGACGUCGGUUGAAACCGUUUGGCUAGAGUCCGGAAGAGGAGAGUGGAAUUCCCGGUGUAGCGGUGAAAUGCGCAGAUAUCGGGAAGAACACCCGUGGCGAAGGCGGCUCACUGGACUGGUAUUGACGCUGAGGUGCGAAAGCGUGGGGAGCAAACAGG